CAGAAAUGCUUGGUCAAUUUUUGAUGUUUGAAGAAGGGCACGGUUCAGUUCACGUAAUCUCAAGAAAGAUGUCAAGCAGUCAUGGCAGUCUUCAUACAUGGAAGAAGGGUAUAGAGAUAAACAAAAAGGGAUUCUACGAAAAAUUCAUUUCCUGGAUCCUUUAACUUUUCUUUUACAGCGAAAGACUGGUGGUCUGAGGGUUUAUAAUAAUCUGUGCCUGUGUGCUGCCGCCCACACGGCGCCGUGUGUGCACAAAAUGGGAAAACGGCGACAAGGUUUUGAACGGUCCAUGGUAAAGGAAGAAGUCAUUAAGAGAAGAUGAUGGAGCAAGGAGUGGCCAAUGAGUGGGCAGCAUCAAUGGAGAGCACAGAACCUGACUCAGACAAGUUUAGCCUCACAGAAAAUGAUGAAGAUGACUCUGAUGUUAGCUGUAGCACAGACAGUGAAGGUGUUAAAGGCAAUCUAUAGCAGCAUGGUUGGUCCCCUGCCCGUGGGCUGAUCUUCUCGCAUCACUGGCCCGAUAGAAUAAGGCGAUAGCAGCGUGGUUGUUUCCCUGCCUGUGGGCUCAUCUUCUGGCAUCGCUGGCCUGAUGGAGUAAGGUGAU